CCCCCAGAGGAGCCCCAGGACCCCCAGAGGCACCGGGGGGGACCCAGGGGAGGGGUCCUGGAACCCCCCCGGGCCGACCAUGCAGGAGAGCUACGAGUCCCUGAUCCUGCUGGAUUUCCCCGUGCCCAGGCCGGUUCUGGUUUCGCGCCUGGAGCCCGAGGAGGAGCCGGGGGAGCCCGAGGGCACCGAGGGCAAAGAGUGGGAAACGCUCAGGGUGGCUCCAGCAGACGCUCCCAGCGAUGAUGAUGAUGAUGAUGAUGAUGAUG